rnacentral:lncRNA from 1 species
GUGAAUUCCACAGCCCCCACCCCUGCCCUCAGCCUCCUUCAAAGUGGCCGCUGGGGCUGGGGUCUGUCUUUGCAGAGGUGCCAGGCCACAUGCCCUGCCCACCUCUACCAGCUAUGCCGCCUCUGAAGUUCCUCCAGCGGCACUGAGGAGGGGCCCUGUGGUCGAGGGUGCAGUUAAACGAGGCCCGACCGGGUAGUUGAGCUCAGCUUGGCUGUACUUGUCUUCCUUGGACCUGCUGGGCACCCCCAGAAUGCAAUACAGCAAUGAGAGUGGCCAGCCACUGCUACUACAUGCAGCCCCAUGGAGGACUCUCACAGAUACAACUCUGAACGAAAGAGGCCAGGCGUGAACAGCACAGGUGGAACUGAGGAGUCCCAACCCAGGGCAGGAAGGGCACAAGAACAUCGUCCUGUUUGUGGACUCACCUGGUAGUUACCCGGAUGUGUUCACUUUUGAUAAUUUAUUAAGGAAUAUUUUUAUGAUUGGUGCACUUUCCUGUAUGCAUGUUAUAUUUCAAAAACAAGUUUUCAUGAAAAAAAAAAAAAGCAAACAAAUACAAAUGCUGUCUGCUGUCCCCUCCUGUCCUCCCAUGCCCUUGCCCUGUGCAGGCCAGCACCGCCUCCCCCUGGAUGGCUGCCCUGGCCUUCCUCUCAUGUGCUCACCUCCCCAUACCUCCCACUCCCACUCCAAAUUAUAGUCGCCAGGCUUAGCAAUAAAAGUACACAAAUGCCAAAAAAGUUAUUCACUGUUUAUCUGAAAUUCACAUUUGACUGAGGGUCCUAUGUUUGACCUGACAACUCUAC